rnacentral:rRNA from 1 species
AUUGAACGCUGGCGGCAGGCCUAACACAUGCAAGUCGAACGCCCUAGCAAUAGGGAGUGGCAGACGGGUGAGUAACACGUGGGAACCUUCCCUAUAGUACGGAAUAGCCCAGGGAAACUUGGAGUAAUACCGUAUACGCCCGAAAGGGGAAAGAUUUAUCGCUAUAGGAUGGGCCCGCGUAGGAUUAGCUAGUUGGUGAGGUAAUGGCUCACCAAGGCGACGAUCCUUAGCUGGUCUGAGAGGACGACCAGCCACACUGGGACUGAGACACGGCCCAGACUCCUACGGGAGGCAGCAGUGGGGAAUAUUGGACAAUGGGCGCAAGCCUGAUCCAGCCAUGCCGCGUGAGUGAUGAAGGCCUUAGGGUUGUAAAGCUCUUUUGGCGGGGACGAUAAUGACGGUACCCGCAGAAUAAGUCCCGGCUAACUUCGUGCCAGCCGCCGCGGUAAUAC